rnacentral:rRNA from 1 species
GCGGAAACCCUGAGGAGCAGCGCCCGCGUGAGCGAGAGGUCUUCGGAUCUGUAAGCUCUGUUGUAAGGGAAGACAGGUGUGUAAUAACUGGCUGCACCUUGACGGUACCUUACUAGAAAGCCACGGCUAAAUACGUGCCAGCAGCCGCGGUAAUUA